UACGGAGGGUGCAAGCGUUAUCCGGAUUCACUGGGUUUAAAGGGUGCGUAGGUGGGCAGGUAAGUCAGUGGUGAAAUCUCCGGGCUUAACCCGGAAACUGCCAUUGAUACUAUCAGUCUUGAAUACCGUGGAGGUAAGCGGAAUAUGUCAUGUAGCGGUGAAAUGCUUAGAUAUGACAUAGAACACCUAUUGCGAAGGCAGCUUACUACGCAGAUAUUGACGCUCAUGCACGAAAGCGUGGGGAUCAAACAGG
rnacentral:rRNA from 1 species